AUCAACUUUCGAUGGUAGGAUAGAGGCCUACCAUGGUGGUAACGGGUAACGGGGUGUUAGGGCACGACACCGGAGAGGGAGCCUGAGAAACGGCUACCACAUCCAAGGAUGGCAGCAGGCGCGCAAAUUACCCAAUCCCGACACGGGGAGGUAGUGACAAUAAAUAACAAUACGGGGUCCUUUGGGUCUCGUAAUUGGAAUGAGUACAAUUUAAAUCUCUUAACGAGGAACAAUUGGAGGGCAAGUCUGGUGCCAGCAGCCGCGGUAAUUCCAGCUCCAAUAGCGUAUAUUAAAGUUGUUGCAGUUAAAAAGCUCGUAGUUGAAUUUCGGGGUCGGUAGGUUGGUCAUGCCAUCGGUAUGCACUGGUCUCACCGAUUCCUCCCUCUUGUAGAAGCGUAAUGCCAUUAAGUUGGUGUUGCGGGGAAACAGGACUGUUACUUUGAAAAAAUUAGGGUGUUUAAAGCAGGCUAACGCUUGAAUACAUUAGCAUGGAAUAAUGAAAUAGGACGUCGAUCCUAUUUUGUUGGUUUCUAGGAUUGACGUAAUGAUUAAUAGGGAUAGUUGGGGGCAUUAGUAUUCAAUUGUCAGAGGUGAAAUUCUUGGAUUUAUUGAAGACUAACUACUGCGAAAGCAUUUGCCAAGGAUGUUUUCAUUAAUCAAGAACGAAAGUUAGGGGAUCGAAGACGAUCAGAUACCGUCGUAGUCUUAACCAUAAACUAUGCCGACUAGGGAUCGGAUGAUGUUAAUUUUUUAAUGACUCAUUCGGCGCCUUACGGGAAACCAAAGUGUUUGGGUUC
rnacentral:rRNA from 1 species